AAGGUUAGCACUCCAUUAAGAUGGAUGGGGAAAGUUCACACCUCUCACUUUUAUUUUAUUUCUUUGCUUUUCUUUCCAUUUGCCUGCAUACUCAGCAAAGCUGAAGCCCGUUCACUACACAGUCUGUUUUUAUACCCACUGGACUGAAAAGUUGAUUUACUGAAGAACUCGGAUUUUGCAGGAAAAGGAAAAAAAUCCACAGAGAGUUUUAAAAUCUGCAAAAUACGACGGGAUUAUCAGAGGAAUAAGAAAUCUUAAGCUAGAUCCUUUGGUUUUUAAAUCAAUCCCCGAAGAGGUUUUAAAGCCCAUACACUUUUGGAUGGUUCUUCUGGACGUCCCUAUAAUUAUUCUUCAUAGAAUAUCUACUAAGAGGGAGAGCUAAGACCACCAUUUAUGUAAACUAGGAAGCCAGUGCAUUUUUGUUCAGUUAGCUUUAAUGAAUAUUGAUUGGAAAACAUGGAAGGAAAUUAACCUUCACUGAGUGCCUACUACGUGAAAGCAUCAUGCUAGGUAUCAGGGGAGACCACGAAGGGUUAACACCUAGUUCAGUCUGGUCCCUUUGCUGUGGUGAAGAAAAAACAUACACGAUUUUCUCUAAUGCGUCAGACUCUGAGAAGUAUUAUGGUAUGGAUUCCUGUAAGAGACCCAUGGAGAAAAGGACAAGUUCAUUGUGAACUGAAACAUUUAGAAAAGCUUCUGAAAGCUGAAUUCAUAGAUUCCAACAAAGACCUCUGAAGAAGGCUUGGCAUAUGGGGUUCUAUACAAUGGAAGCACCCAGGCUGCUGGAAUCAUCAGACAGAAGAAGGCUGCCCUCCUGAUGCCUAAUGAUGCCAUGAAAGGAACAAGAAUUAUUCUGUAAGAUUCCUAAUAGUAGAAUUUGACUAUGAAGUCAAAGAGUUUGAAAAUCUGUAAAAGACACGAGUGAGUACAGGAAACCAGCUUCCUUGAAAGGUUGCAGAAGUUUGUUUUCCGGCUAACAGAACAGGAGAUGACCUGUCUUACCACACUCUCAUCUGCAUUGAACGUCUCCUUGUACUACAGGUCAAUUGUUGGCUCUUUGCCCACCCAUGAGUGCUCUAACCUUGAGAAGGGAAUAUGGGUGCAUGUGCGUAGCUACUGUGGCUGUGGUGGAGCCGUGGAUGGAAAGAAGGAUGAGACCCAACAGCCAGAUGUGACAAAGGCCAUUGGAGGUCCAGGCACAGCACGUUGCAUGGAACAUUACUUGAUCAACAGUUGCUACUUCGUGGAUUAUCACUUACGUUGAAAAAAAAAAAUAACACUACUUGGCGAUAUCUUUGAAUUCAAGCCUCUUAUCUUUCCUCUUUCGAAGGACAAGAUGAUUGCUUGCAGCUUCCUCAAGCCCUCUAAUCAAGCACAGGAAACGACCAGAAUGCAAUGAACUGCCACGGAAGAUUCCUUUUCUUGCCCACGUUACCGAAGAGCACUUACAGAGCGUUUCAUGAAAGGAAUGCAGAAUACGCCGAAGCAAGGGUGGGCAGAGAGUUAAAGCCCAAGCCCGCAAGACUGAAUGACCUCCGUGGGCAACCCUUGCGCCCAGUCGCAAGCAAAUGGGACCAGGAACGCUUUCCUCUCACACUCGCUGGGAGGCACCCCCACCCACCACCUCCUGCCGUCCAUCUCCUCCUUCCCUGAUUUGUGUCUGUUUUUGUUAAACAGUGGAUCUUGCUAUGCUUUUCAGAAAGCUGACAAGAAGCAAGCUGAAAAUUAAAAAUGGGUGCCGAGAGGCUUUACGGGAGUCUAAAUAAACAGCUCGACAGGAAAGACGUGUGGCAGGCUAAGGUUUCAGGCUAGUGGUCGGAGAGAGUUAAAAGACAUCCGUAUAACAGAAGGCUGUGUUUGUUUUCCCUGUCCCUGCUCUAGCAAA